UUUAUGUUUCAAAUAAUUUAUUGCCGUAGGAUGGGACUGCGGCCUAUCAGUUUGUUGGUGAGGUAAUGGCCCACCAAGACUAUUACAGGUACGGGCUCUGAGAGGAGUAGCCCGGAGAUGGGUACUGAGACACGGACCCAGGCCCUAUGGGGCGCAGCAGGCGAGAAAACUUUGCAAUGUGCGAAAGCACGACAAGGUUAAUCCGAGUGGUUUCUGCUAAAGGAACCUUUUGUCAGUCCUAGAAACACUGAUGAAUAAGAGGUGGGCAAGUUCUGGUGUCAGCCGCCGCGGUAAAACCAGCACCUCAAGUGGUCAGGAUGAUUAUUGGGCCUAAAGCAUCCGUAGCCUGCUUUGUAAGUUUUCGGUUAAAUCCAUACGCUCAACGUAUGGGCUGCCGGGAAUACUGCAAAGCUAGGGAGUGGGAGAGGUAGACGGUACUCGGUAGGAAGGGGUAAAAUCCUUUGAUCUAUUGAUGACCACCUGUGGCGAAGGCGGUCUACCAGAACACGUCCGACGGUGAGGGAUGAAAGCUGGGGGAGCAAACCGGAUUAGAUACCC
rnacentral:rRNA from 1 species